rnacentral:rRNA from 1 species
UUUUGGACAAUGGGCGCAAGCCUGAUCCAGCCAUUCCGCGUGAGUGAAGAAGGCCUUCGGGUUGUAAAGCUCUUUCGCAAGGGAAGAAAACUUACUUUCUAAUAAAGAGUGAGGUUGACGGUACCUUGAUAAGAAGCACCGGCUAACUACGUGCCAGCAGCCGCGGUAAUACGUAGGGUGCGAGCGUUAAUCGGAAUUACUGGGCGUAAAGCGUGCGCAGGCGGCUUUGUAAGUCAGAUGUGAAAUCCCCGAGCUCAACUUGGGAACUGCGUUUGAAACUACAAGGCUAGAAUAUGUCAGAGGGGGGUAGAAUUCCACGUGUAGCAGUGAAAUGCGUAGAGAUGUGGAGGAAUACCAAUGGCGAAGGCAGCCCCCUGGGAUAAUAUUGACGCUCAUGCACGAA